UAGGGAAUCUUCCGCAAUGGACGAAAGUCUGACGGAGCAACGCCGCGUGAGUGAAGAAGGAUUUCGGUUCGUAAAACUCUGUUGUUAGGGAAGAAAAAAUGUAUAGUAACUAUAUACAAAAGAGACGGUACCUAACCAGAAAGCCACGGCUAACUACGUGCCAGCAGUCGCGGUAAUACGUAGGUGGCAAGCGUUGUCCGGAAUUAUUGGGCGUAAAGCGCGCGCAGGUGGUUUAGAAAGACUGAUGUGAAAGCCCACGGAUCAACCGUGGAGGGUCGUUGGACACUAAUAAACUUGAGUGCAGGGGAGAAAAGUGGAAUUCCUAGUGUAGCGGUGAAAUGCGUGGAGAUUAGGAGGAUCACCGGUGGCGAUAGCGGCUUUUUGGACUGUAACAGACACUGAAACGCGCAAGCGUGGGGAGCAAGCAGG
rnacentral:rRNA from 1 species